rnacentral:rRNA from 1 species
ACACGGCCCCAGAUUCCUACGGGAGGCAGCAGUAGGGAAUCUUCCACAAUGGACGAAAGUCUGAUGGAGCAACGCCGCGUGAGUGAAGAAGGUUUUCGGAUCGUAAAACUCUGUUGUUGGAGAAGAAUGUAUCUGAUAGUAACUGAUCAGGUAGUGACGGUAUCCAACCAGAAAGCCACGGCUAACUACGUGCCAGCAGCCGCGGUAAUACGUAGGUGGCAAGCGUUGUCCGGAUUUAUUGGGCGUAAAGCGAGCGCAGGCGGUUUCUUAAGUCUGAUGUGAAAGCCUUCGGCUCAACCGAAGAAGUGCAUCGGAAACUGGGAAACUUGAGUGCAGAAGAGGACAGUGGAACUCCAUGUGUAGCGGUGAAAUGCGUAGAUAUAUGGAAGAACACCAGUGGCGAAGGCGGCUGUCUGGUCUGUAACUGACGCUGAGGCUCGAAAGCAUGGGUAGCAAACAGGAUUAGAUACCCUGGUAGUCCAUGCCGUAAACGAUGAGUGCUAGGUGUUGGAGGGUUUCCGCCCUUCAGUGCCGCAGCUAACGCAUUAAGCACUCCGCCUGGGGAGUACGACCGCAAGGUUGAAACUCAAAGGAAUUGACGGGGGCCCGCACAAGCGGUGGAGCAUGUGGUUUAAUUCGAAGCAACGCGAAGAACCUUACCAGGUCUUGACAUCCUUUGACCACUCUAGAGAUAGAGCUUUCCCUUCGGGGACAAAGUGACAGGUGGUGCAUGGUUGUCGUCAGCUCGUGUCGUGAGAUGUUGGGUUAAGUCCCGCAACGAGCGCAACCCUUAUUACUAGUUGCCAGCAUUUAGUUGGGCACUCUAGUGAGACUGCCGGUGACAAACCGGAGGAAGGUGGGGACGACGUCAAAUCAUCAUGCCCCUUAUGACCUGGGCUACACACGUGCUACAAUGGAUGGUACAACGAGUUGCGAGACCGCGAGGUUUAGCUAAUCUCUUAAAACCAUUCUCAGUUCGGAUUGUAGGCUGCAACUCGCCUACAUGAAGCCGGAAUCGCUAGUAAUCGCGGAUCAGCAUGCCGCGGUGAAUACGUUCCCGGGCCUUGUACACACCGCCCGUCACACCAUGAGAGUUUGUAACACCCAAAGCCGGUGAGGUAACCCUUCGGGGAGCCAGCCGUCUAAG